ACCGCCGUGAACGGGUCUGAGCUGCCUCCGGAGCAGAAGGCCGCAGGUUCGAAUCCUGCCGGGGGCA
rnacentral:tRNA from 1 species